rnacentral:misc_RNA from 1 species
UGACGGCGUUGUACUCGACACGCAUGAGGAGCCUUAGACGUACUUUUCGUAUGCGAAACGCCAAAAAAGGAAGGACAUGGGAAAAUAAGGCACAACUUAAACGGAAAAGGGGAGACGGAGCGGUUCAUACACGACAGCAACACUAAAAUUUUCACGAAUGUUUUUUUUAUUGCUUGCUUUUGUUUCGCUUUACGUAUCCAUCAUCGCAAGGAAACACUUCAGGGCGUGGCAUCUCCGGGUCCAGUGCCUCCAGUUUAUCUGGGGGAGUCAAGCAGCACCCCUACUCCAUCGCCCCUGCCAAUGCCGAACCACCUCUGGCGGUGGCGGGGUCGGAGACCCUACGGCGUAGGCAGUGGUCAGAGCGAGGCAUCGCUUCGGAUGUCGGUGGUCAGGCCCUGGAUGGCAUUGCCUCUAAGCGACAUGCAGCAGUGGACACAUUUGCACCAUCCAUAUGAUGGGGCAGCGUAUCAGCGUGACUCAAGCAUCUCCCGUCCCCCCCCCGGCCCUCACACUGCCUACUGAUGUGGGCAGCCUGAGAGCCACUCCGAGGUGAAUGCGCGAGGUGUCGACCGGCAUGAUGGGCGCCGCUGUGAGGCGGGCUUCGAUUCGGGUGGAGGUGAGUAGAACUUGAGGCACGACGCCAUGCUCAACUGACUGAGUCAGCGCAUUGCUGUAACGCGCGUGCCCACGGCCGCUUGGCACCAGCUAAGGGGGUCUGUGGCACGCCAGGGGUAGUGUGGAGUUCAGCCCAUGGCGUAUGGGCAGAGAAUGGGCGUGCUGAAAAAAAAAAAAAAAACAGAAUCGCUUUGCGUUCGCGCCUGUGCCGCGUUGUCUCUACUCACGGAUCAACCUCAACUUCUUUUUUUUUCCGCGUGUCCGUUUCUGUUGCCAUCUCUACUGCGUAAAAAAUUUGUUAG